ACUCCUACGGGAGGCAGCAGUGGGGAAUCUUAGACAAUGGGCGCAAGCCUGAUCUAGCCAUGCCGCGUGAGUGAUGAAGGCCUUAGGGUCGUAAAGCUCUUUCGCCAGGGAUGAUAAUGACAGUACCUGGUAAAGAAACCCCGGCUAACUCCGUGCCAGCAGCCGCGGUAAUACGGAGGGGGUUAGGCGUUGUUCGGAAUUACUGGGGCGUAAAGCGCGCGUAGGCGGAUUAGUCAGUUAGAGGUGAAAUCCCAGGGCUCAACCCUGGAACUGCCUUUAAUACUGCUAGUCUUGAGUUCGAGAGAGGUGAGUGGAAUUCCGAGUGUAGAGGUGAAAUUCGUAGAUAUUCGGAGGAACACCAGUGGCGAAGGCGGCUCACUGGCUCGAUACUGACGCUGAGGUGCGAAAGUGUGGGGGAGCAAACAGGAUUAGAUACCCUGGUAGGAUAGCG
rnacentral:rRNA from 1 species